CGGGUGAGUAAUGUAUGGGGAUCUGCCUGAUGGCGGGGGAUAACUACUGGAAACGGUAGCUAAUACCGCAUAAUGUCUACGGACCAAAGCGGGGGACCUCCGGGCCUCGCGCCAUCAGAUGAACCCAUAUGGGAUUAGCUAGUAGGUGAGGUAACGGCUUACCUAGGCGACGAUCCCUAGCUGGUCUGAGAGGAUGAUCAGCCACACUGGGACUGAGACACGGCCCAG
rnacentral:rRNA from 1 species